rnacentral:rRNA from 1 species
UACGAAGGGUGCGAGCGUUAUUCGGAGUUACUGGGCGUAAAGAGCAUGUAGGCGGUUUGCUAAGUUAGUUGUUAAAUUCCAUGGCUUAACUAUGGACGCGCAGCUAAUACUGGUGAGCUAGAGCAUAGAAGAGAGAAGUGGAAUUCCCGGAGUAGCGGUAAAAUGCGUAGAUCUCGGGAGGAACACCGGUUGCGAAGGCGGCUUCUUGGUCUAUUGCUGACGCUAAAGUGCGAAAGCGUGGGGAGCAAACAGG